GGCAAUUUGGGGAUCUCAUGCGUCUUUUUGACGAGUAUGGUUCCCCAUCAACUGCUGGGGAUAUUGCGUAUAUUGAUUACCUCUUCUUGGGAGAUUAUGUUGAUAGGGGCCAGCACAGCUUGGAGACCAUUACUCUUCUCCUUGCAUUAAAGGUCGAGUAUCCUCACAAUAUACAUUUAAUACGUGGGAACCAUGAAGCUUCAGAUAUAAAUGCGCUCUUUGGCUUUCGAAUUGAGUGCAUUGAACGCCUGGGUGAGAGAGAUGGAAUCUGGGCAUGGCAUCGGAUUAAUAGAUUGUUUAACUGGCUUCCUCUGGCUGCCCUGAUCGAGAAAAAAAUCAUCUGUAUGCAUGGUGGGAUUGGAAGGUCCAUUAAUCACGUUGAGCAAAUAGAGAGUAUCCAGCGUCCUAUCACUAUGGAAGCUGGCUCAAUCGUUCUGAUGGAUUUGUUGUGGUCUGACCCAACAGAAAAUGAUAGUGUUGAAGGACUAAGACCAAAUGCAAGAGGCCCUGGCUUGGUAACUUUUGGGCCCGAUCGUGUGAUGGAGUUUUGCAACAACAAUGAUCUUCAACUAAUAGUCCGAGCCCACGAAUGCGUGAUGGAUGGCUUUGAAAGAUUUGCUCAGGGGCAUUUGAUUACGCUUUUUUCAGCCACCAAUUACUGCGGUACUGCUAACAAUGCUGGUGCCAUUUUGGUAUUGGGUAGAGAUCUUGUUGUGGUUCCAAAACUCAUCCACCCAAUUCCGCCAGUUUCAUCGCCUGAAAAUUCACCUGAGCGGCAUAUAGAAGACACUUGGAUGCAGGAGUUAAAUGCUAACAGACCCCCUACACCAACCAGAGGCCGUCCCCAAGUUGCGAACGAUCGAGGUUCUUUUGCUUGGACUUAGAUUCUUUUCCUAUACUUUGAGCUUCAUGCUCUUAACAUCUGGGAUUUCCAGUGAUAUGUACAUAGGCAUGAAGCCAUUUGUGGAGACAAAUAUAUCCCUCUUUGAAGAUCUAUAAGGCUUUUUGAGGCACUCAGCACAAUACACAACAACAGCCCUUCAGACAGAUUGCAGGCACAGAAGCAGUUGAGGAUCUUCAAAAGUUUCCCAUUGUACAUUGACAAACAAAAUCACAUCAUAUCAUCAUGUAUUACUAUAAGUGAGAACAAAAAAAAAAAGUCGAAAGUUGAGUUAACGGUUUUACCCCUAUUAAAUUAUUUUUUAUAAAAAAUUAGAUGUUUC
rnacentral:misc_RNA from 1 species